rnacentral:sRNA from 1 species
AUGUUUCUACUCUAACAUCUGGUUUACAUUCAGCCCCUUGCAAAUCUCAAGAAGAUGUCUUUGUCAAGUUCAUGGUAUUUAAAGAAACUUCCGGAUCUGUCAAAUGCUACAAAUCUCGAAGAAUUGGAUCUGAGAGCUUGCCAGAAUUUAGUAGAGCUUCCUUCCUCCUUUUCUUAUCUGCAUAAGCUAAAGUAUUUGAAUAUGAUGGGAUGCAGAAGGCUAAAAGAAGUUCCACCUCAUAUCAACUUGAAGUCUCUUGAAUUGGUCAACAUGUAUGGAUGCUCAAGAUUAAAAAGCUUUCCAGAUAUUUCUACAAACAUCAGUUCACUCGACAUAUCAUACACUGAUGUGGAAGAACUACCUGAAUCAAUGACGAUGUGGUCUCGCCUACGUACUCUCGAAAUAUACAAAAGUAGAAACCUCAAGAUAGUAACACAUGUGCCCCUAAACCUAACAUAUCUAGACCUCAGCGAGACUAGAAUUGAGAAGAUUCCAGAUGACAUCAAAAAUGUUCAUGGGCUGCAAAUUUUAUUUCUAGGUGGCUGCAGAAAACUCGCAUCAUUGCCAGAGCUUCCUGGUUCGCUCUUGUACUUAUCAGCAAACGAGUGUGAAUCACUUGAGAGCGUAUCUUGCCCUUUUAAUACUUCAUACAUGGAACUCAGCUUCACCAACUGCUUCAAACUAAACCAAGAAGCACGCAGAGGAAUUAUUCAACAAUCAUUUUCUCAUGGGUGGGCAUCCUUACCUGGAAGAGAGUUGCCCACUGACUUAUACCACCGAUCUACCGGACAUUCCAUCACCGUUCGUCUCGAGGGCAAGACUCCUUUUUCUGCAUUCUUUGGAUUUAAGGUUUUCCUCGUGAUUUCCCCUAACCAUGAUGCUGAAGAAACUAGCAAUUCUCCCUUAUUUUGUCCUCGCAUUGGCAAAAUCGGUUGCUCCGAUGACGAAACACCUAUUUAUAUUAUCCCCAAACCUCGAGCAGAACAUCUAGUUAUGUUUCACUCUGACUUGCAUAACAAGGAAAAAUGUCAUGAAGUAGGCAACGAGAUACUGUUUGAAUUCAGCAACAUAUCCGACACCUAUGAGAUUAUUGAGUGUGGUGUCAGAUUCUAUACAGAUGAACAGGUGAAAUCAGUGAAAGGAGAAAUGAAUAUGAAAUAGACCAAGUUUGUGAAGAUGAAAACGAUUGGAGCUAUGAGUUUGGACCCGUGGAAGCAUUGGAAUGCUCUAAAAAUAAUGGACAUAAUGAUAGCCUAAUCUGUACUUCGAACGAAGACAAGAUCGAAGCCAACAAAUACACAGAUUGUUGGAGUUGGCUCAUCAUCUGUUUUGAUGUCUCCCAUAUUGUGAGAAGCAUCGGAAGUUUAGUUUGGGGAGGAAGAUGAGAGAAGCAAGAAGGAGAAUAUCAAAGUGGAGAAGUCGAACGAAUUUGCAAGUGAGGAAAGAAUAUCUGUUUA